rnacentral:lncRNA from 8 species
GGAAAAGGCCGUAGUGACUGGACACAAUCUAUUGUCAUUCUUUCCAUUGAGUGUCGUCGCCAGUUCACCCCUCCCCCGGGAAGCCUAUGGUGUCACACGUACCUGCAUGCUAUUGUGAACACCCCCCAAGAACGGAGGAGAGGCAGGUUUCUCCAUAUUUUGUCCCUCCCCUCGCGAGUGCUGUUUUAAAUAGCGAGAGAGAGCUCAGAUGUGACAUCUACACGAAGACACUUGUUGAGAGCAUCUCCUCGGGCUCACCUUACAAUCACCGUAAAGACAACUUGUUCAAGGAGAACCACGGCGCUUUUUUCCUUCAAGAAACCUUCCAAGUCACGAAAUUACAGGAAUGGACAAUAGCAGCAGACUGAUGUUCGCAGUCGUCAUGGUAAUGGCGUACAUGGCGAUGGGAGCCCAGGCCCAGAACUCCACAAUGGCCCAAAACUCCACAAUGGCCCUGAACGUCACAAUGGCCCAGAACUCCACAAUGGCCCUGAACGUCACAAUGGCAGCUAAUGCUUCUACUACAGGACUCAACAUAACAACAACCCUUAGCACAACAUAUUCCCCAGGCGUAAAUAUCACAACCAAUGGUACUAUGGCACCCAACACAACACAGACGACAGUGGUACCUGUCACAGCUGUCACGACACAGGAUAAUAUCUCAAGGAGAGAAUGUGGAAAGACUAAGCUCUGUGCAGCUGAGCCGGAAAACUGUGAUCCGGCCGUGGCUGGUUCCUGUUUCUUCGCAUCCACCAAUCAGAUCUCGGGACAGACUUUCUCCUUCCAGCUACGAGGAAUGUCCAGUGGCUACAUCGCUGUAGGCUUGUCCACAACCUCCACACUGGAUGGUAACGCCACCAUCUAUGUGUGCGCCAACAACAGCGGCAGUGUGAAAUUCUUCACCACUGUCCUUGACAAGGAACAUCUGGCCAUUACCAACAUGGACUCAGUCAACGAUAAGAUCAUCCAGUGCACCUUCAAUGCUACUGUCCCCAACGCUACGGCGACCACGGGCACCCGGGGCUCCUCCACCAGUUUCUUCUUCUCCAUCUUAAAAGGGUCAAUCAAUAACGGUGAGGCACUCUUCCAAACACGGUCCUGGUGAAGUUUCCCAUAGGUACAUAUCUAGGAUCAGCUCCCUCUACCCCUAUCCUCACCUUAACAAUUACUGGAGGAAAUGCUAAACUGACCUCAGAUCAGCAUAUAGGGGUCUGUCUUUCUCUAACUCUCUCUCUCUCCUUGUUCUCCUCCCUCAGGAACACUGGUUAAUUCCACUGUUGUCCUGUUAAGUGAUAGAUUUGUGGACCUGACCACCUACAACACUACUGUGACCAACUCUUUGAACCAGAACACCACUUCUGCUGCUACCUCCAGCCACACCUUCGGCCUGCAGCACACCCUGGCUCAAGGUAAUAACCACAUAAGAAGCACCACUAACACUUUAUAAUAAUAACUGAUAACAUGAUUAAGUAUUAUUAAACUAUUGAUAAAGAAGUAUUUCAUUAUUCAUUUAUAAGCCUUAAAAGCAAUUUAUAAAUAAAUAAUAUAUAAUUAUUUAUUAUGCAUUUAUAAAUGUGUAUGACUAUUUAUAAUGUUGUAAUUCAUGGAAGUUGUUAUAAAGUGUUACCGUAGUAACUAAUAUAAUCCCAUAUUACCUAGAGUAGACAACCAAUGUGAAAGGCUAUAUCAUUUCCUCUUCUCUCUCUCUCUCUCUCUCUCUCUCUCUCUCUCUCUCUCUCUCUCUCUCUCUCUCUCUCUCUCUCUCUUUCCAUAGCUCUUCUGAUCCUGCUAGGUGUACUAGGUAUGAUGAUGCUGUAAGGUCUGAAGAUGAAGCACCAUGCACUCAGGAAUCCUGCCUCCUUUCCUUUACUCACCUUGGCCAGGCUGCGUCCCUAAAUGGCACCCCAUUCCCUAAAUACUACUGUACUCCCACUAUGUAGGGAAUAGGGUGCAAUUCUGGACUCAAUCUGGUACCAGAACAAAGGAUCAUGUCAGAUCUGAAGUUAUAUGCUUAUAUAUGCAAUCAUGUUUUUCCACAUACUCAAUGAAACACCUAGUUGAGGGUAGUAAGACAUUAACUAACAGAAUGGACCCAGUGAUACAAGGCCAAGUACUAACAUAUUGUGUUGAUAGACAAUACCAUUUAAAGGAAAAAGGUAUAAAUUCAACUUCACAUUCAUCAUCUCCAUCACCACUUACCUUCUUCUAUCUUGUUGAAUACAAAACAUAAAAACCAGCCAUUUUAAUAUACGUUGAUGUUGGAGUGUUGCUGGAGUUGACGAAGAUGAAAUGUCCCAUUAAGAAAUAACAACUGGGUGUAAAAACAGAUCCUCCAUAUUUGUACUGUAUACCCCCAUGUCAUCCCCUACAUGUAACUAAUUUAUUUGUGACAGAGGAAGUUGUUUUAUAAUUCUGUAUUUGCUGAUGUCCUGUUAUGAAGUUCAUGUUAGUCUGUGUUUCUUGGUGGAUGUGUGUGAGUGAGAGUGUGACUUUGUGUGUAAAUAUUGUAUAGUGAUGAGAGACUCCACACACAUACCCCACACUUGGGACAGACGUCAAUUCAACAUCUACUAUAUUCCAUGUCGGUUCAAAGUAAUUUCGUUGAAAUAACAUGGAAACGUUGAUUAAACCAGUGUUUGCCCAGUGGGCCGUAGAUGAAGUCACAAGGGCUGCAUUUAGACAGGUAGACAAGUUCUUAUACUUUUACCAAUAAUUGGUCUUUUGAACAAUAACAUUUAUUUUUCAGAGCUGAUCAAAAGACCAAUUAGUGUGUGUGUAUGUAUUGUUUAUGUGUGUACUUUGAUGAAGCCACUGGAUGGUGAACUGUUCUACCUGACUACCCUUUUAAAUUAAAUAUUUGCAUUACACAAUAAAAAUGAACUUUUAUUUACAAUGCAUAUUUUAUUAUCUUUCAUGGGCAUAUUUUUACUUAAUCUAUUGACACUGAAACCGACAACAUCUAACAUACUGUAAUAUACACGUAAAAUCUGACACGGGCUCAACUAGGGCAGCAGGUAGCCUAGCGGUUAAGAGCGUUGAGCCAGUAACUAAAAGGUUGCUGGUUUGAAUCCCUGAUCUGACGAGGUGAAGAAUCUGUUGAUGUGUCCUCAAUUAGGCAAGGCACUUAAUGUCAUAAGCGUCGUAGUGAGUGGACCAAAACGCA